rnacentral:tRNA from 1 species
UUUUAAUAGCUUAAUUUAGAGCACUGUGCUGAAGAUACAGAGGUAGUUUUGACUUUAAAAUAU